CUUUGAUUCAUUCACCUUUUAUUAAGGCAUGUUUUGAGCAAAGCUACAAUUUCCGUUCCAACUAAAAAUCUUCCACAUCUAAAAUUUAUCAUCACAAUCUUUAUGUGAGGCACAAGCAAAUGUGGCAAAGCUGCUUUCCUCAACAAACAAACUUCCUCUCUUCCCAAAACUUGGACUUGUGCAAACACUUGAGUGAAUGAAUGAAUAGUGUUGAAAACUCCCAUCAAAAUCUGCAGCUAAAUCCCAAUGCAAGCAAACACGAUGAUGAGACUCUGCACAUCGCCUCCGACCUCGCUGCACGAUCCAAGACCGUCACACAAGUCAUCGAAAAACCCCAUCAAAAUUCGCCUUGAAGCAAACUCAAUCCGCUUAUCGCCUCCGACCUCGCUUCACAGGUCAUCGACAGUAGCCGCUGCAACGAGGGAGAAGGAACUGAAGCCCCUGUGGGACGACGGGUACGGGACUCAGACAGCGAGGGACUACAUUCAAGCAAGUACUAAACUUAUGAUCAACUCCGAUGGCGGCCCGCCUCGAUGGUUCUGCCCCAGCGAAGCCGGCCCACCUCUCGACGACUCUCCUCCUCUCCUCUAUUUGCCUGGGAUCGACGGUGUGGGGAUGGGAAUGGUGUUGCACCACAAGGCGAUGGGGAAGGUGUUCCGAGUGCGGUGUAUGCAGGUGCCGGCGGAGGAUCGGACGCCGUACGAGGAGCUGGUGGAGUUUGUGGGAGAAGCGGUGGAGGCGGAGCAUGCUUCGUCUCCGGGCAUGCCUAUAUACCUGCUUGGUGACUCCUUCGGGGCCUGUCUCGCUCUCUCUGUAGCAGCUGCAAAUCCUGCUCCAGAUAUAGUGCUCAUAUUGGUCAAUCCAGCGACGUCGUUUGAUAGGUCACAGCUCCAGCCACUGCUCCCCUUUCUUGAGAUCAUUCCUGAGAAGUUACUCCCUUGCCUGCUGGCCGCCACCUGCGGCGAUCCCAUCAAGAUGGCCAGCGUCUCAAACGCCGCCAAAACAUGGAUCCCUCCUGCAAAACACCUGCAGAGGCUCCUCCACGACCUCUCCUCUUUAGCCGCUGGCAUUUUCAGCCUCACCGAUAUCCUUCCAAAGCAAACCUUGCAGUGGAAGCUCAAGCUCCUCAAAGCCGGCGCCGCCUCCUCCAACUCCCGCCUCCACGCCGUCAAAAACGAGACCCUCAUCCUCGCAAGCGGCCGCGACUCCAUGCUCCCGAGCAAGGACGAGGCGCGGCGCCUCUCGUCCUUGCUCGCCAACUCCAAGGUCCGUUUCUUCAGAGACAACGGCCACCUCCUCCUGCUGGAAGACGGCAUCAAUCUCCUCACCGUUCUCAAGGGAAACCACAUGUACCGCCGCUCCCGACGCCGCGACGCCGUCGCCGACUUUCUGCCCCCGAGCAGGUCGGAGUUUAACUACGUGUUCGACCACCUGCUCGGGGCGCUGCGCUUGGCCGUGAGCCCCGUGAUGCUGUCGACCCUCGCGGACGGGGGUGUCGUGCGGGGGCUGGCGGGGGUGCCCGACGACGGCCCCGUGCUGCUCGUGGGCUACCACAUGCUGAUCGGGGCGGAGAUCACCACCAUCGCGGAGGAGUUUCUGCGGGAGAAGAGAGUGAUGGUUCACGGCCUGACUCAUCCAUGGAUAUUCAGCAAGGACAUGGAAGCAGCUCUGCAGGAGACCUCAGGGUUCGAUUACUUCAAAGUGUUCGGAGCCAUACCUGUCUCGGCAGCCAACCUCUGCAGAUCACUGCAGGCGAAGUGCCACGUGCUGCUCUACCCGGGCGGGGUGAGGGAGGCGCUGCACCGCAAGGGGGAGGCCUACAAGCUCUUCUGGCCGGAGGAGCCGGAGUUCGUGAGGGUGGCGGCCAAGUACGGCGCCAAGAUCGUGCCGUUUGGGGUGGUCGGGGAGGAUGAUUUGCUCGAGUUGUUCCUCGACUAUAACGAUCUCAUGAAGAUCCCAUUUCUGAACAAGGUGAUCAAGAGUGAGAAUGAUAACAUGCCUAGAGUGAGGGCCGGGAAGGAGGUGAAGGGGAAGAUCGCGGAGCAGUUCUUCUACGUGCCGGGGUUCUACCCGAAGGUGCCCGGCCGCUUCUAUUUCCUGUUUGGGAAGCCGAUGGAGACGGAGGGGCGGGGGGAGCUGCUGACGGACAGGGUGAAGGCCAAGGAGUUUUACCUGCAGUUGAAGUCUGAGGUUGAGAGAUGCAUGGCUUACUUGAUAGAGAAGCGUGAUGCCGAUCCUUACCGCCGUCUUUCGGAUAGGUUGUUGUACCGUGCUGUUUCGUCUCCCGCUCAUCAAACUCCCACGUUCGAGCCCUGAAGCGUCUUACCAACUGAGCUGCAUCUGAUUAGGAUGAUAUGGCUAUGAGGGGAUUCAAAUAUGUAAUAAGAGUUUCUGUUGUUGGAAUGUAUAGUGCUUGGUGUGCUUUCUUCUUUCAGUCAUGGAACUUGGUGUCUAAUUUCUUCCUCAAAUUAAUAAGGCUCAAAUGUCACUGCCGGUGCAGCCUGGCCCCACCCCUCUAUUUGAUUAUUACUCCAUAAGUUUAAUUAAUUAAUUAAUUAAAUUGUUAUUUGAGUUUAAUUAAAAUAAAUUCUAAUUAAAAUUGAA